rnacentral:lncRNA from 1 species
UUGUGUUAGGUUCUAAGAAUCUUAGUACCUUAGCUCUGUACUGGUCAUCUAAAAGAAUGUUGGUGGACUUGAUGUCUCGAUGCAAAAUCCUAGGAGCAGCUGCUUCAUGCAGGUAUUCCAAGCCCCUUGCAGCUCCAAUCGCAAUCUGCACACGUGUCUCCCAGUCCAGCGGUUCUUUCCCUUGUGUUGCAUCCAGACAAUCUCGCAAAUUACCAUUGGACAUGUACUCAAAUACAAGGAGUCUCUCAGAUUGCUUCCCUUGGGACUCCGAGCAAUAUCCAAGCAAAGGCACCACAUGACAAUGGUUGAGCCUUGAUAACAAUUCGAUCUGUGUAAAGUGUUGCAAAAUCAUGAGUCAGAAUAUGUUGAAAGUUGCUAUUAAUUUGACGAUUUAAACCCCAAAAGUUCAAAAAAUACAAUAGAAAGCUCAACAUUAUUUUAUGCUACUAGUUUUAUUUCUCACCUACUUUGCUGUUAUCCUUGGAUAUUCAUCUUUUUUGACUUCAAAAGGGAAAAUGAUUGAGAAACUAUAUGUGGAUACUGAAAUAAUGUGGAUUUAUGCUACAUGUGGGUGGGUGGGUGGGUGCGUGUGUUGGAAGGGGGUGUUGGUUGGGGUUGGAAGGGGGUGUUGGUUGGGGUUGGAAGGGGGGAGUGUGUUGGAAGGAUAGGGGUGGGAGGUGGCGGGCGAAGUAUAUCACCAGUAGUACAGGUGAAAAUGAAUAGAAUGAAGGUAGUUUUGUUGUACCCAUUAGAAUUAAAGGAGACAAUGAAUGGCUAGAUCCAUAAGAAAUAAGAAAAGUGAGAGCUGCAUUUGAGGAACACCUCGGACAAAAACUCAGAGUCUGCUUCUGGCCAUCCGAGUGAUCUUAGUCUCUUUACAGCAACAACUCUUCCAUCUUUGAGAUGACCACGGUAAACAUUGCUGCUCCCUCCAAUCCCUAUUAGAUUAGCACUUGAGAAUUUAUUGGUUGCUUGCUCUAAUUCAACAUAGGAAAAUUGGACAAUGGCUCCAGGGAAAGUUCCUCUUUCACUUCCAAAUACCCAGAAAAGCCUGUGUAUGAAUCCUGCAUCAAAAAAGAUUUAAUGUUAUUCCUAAUACAUUAUUUGGAUGCAAAGUAUCACACUUCAAAGAAGCAGAAAAAAUAUAUUAACAGAGUUUUGGCCGGUCUUCAAAGUUACAAAUUAAACUAGCAGCAACAGUCAAAAGGAAAAGGCAUAUCUAGAAUGUUAUCUGAACCUUUCACCAUCCGAUGUUAUUUGAAUUGUUUAUGUUUUGAUGUAGGGUCCGUGUAUGACUUAAAUGUGUACAUCUUAAGGAAGUUGGGCAAAAAUGCACAUAUUACCUGUAAAUCCAUUGAAACCAGUGUUGUUCUUGGCCUGACAUUGUGGGAAUGAAGUAGAUCGGUGGUUUAUUAAGUUGGUCAUGCUAUUCCAACUUGUGUUUUUUUCAGAUGAAAAUGCUGGUGAUGGCAGAGAAAAUUGAUCCUUGCGAUAGAAAUAGCAUGCAAUGGAGGUGAGAAAUGCAAUAGUUGUGAGCCCAACACAGAGUAGGAGAAUGACCACAACACACUUGCGAGAUAAAUGCUUCUUUGCUCCUGUAGAUGUUCCUGCAGAACACAGAUAAGGCAUAAAAAAUGUUCUUUAACACGUCUGAUGAGAUUUAAAAAAUAUGGUCAUAACUUACAGCCCACAAAUAUAUUUAUGUCACAGGCAGCCUUGACCAAAAGAACUGUAUGGCCACCAGCUAAUGUAAUUGCAUGUCUCAUUUUCUAUUAUAUUGCUUUCUGAAAAAAGUUCUUACGUAGAUCAAAGUAUAAUGAAGGAAUGCACAUCCUUCGCUAAGAAUUUAAAUUUUACCAGAAGUGCAAUUGCAGGCAGUAAAACAACUGGCAGUAUGGAUGUUUCCUGGGCUUUGAGAAGUCCCUUCUGAUUGACAUGAGCAAUUCCAUACUCCAUCCGGGUUUCCUGUUUCAUCAGCCACAAAUUCCGAAUUCAUAAAAUAAUGAUCCUUAUUGUGGUAGGACUAUCAAGGCAUAUCAUACAGAGAACAUAUCAUUACUCAAAACCAGAUGACAAUUUAACUUUCAUGAAUGAAUUAGCAGCACAUUGAAUUUGAUGUCAUUAGUAAGUAUGAAGUGAGUCGUGCAGUAGUAUAAUUGAUUAUUUAUUUCACGUUAGCAUAGAAAAUUUUACAACAAUAGGCUCGCGCACGAGUUUAUAUAUAGGAAAGGUGGUUAUCUCUUUUCAGUUGUACUAAGAAACUUCACGGCAAAUGAUAAGAGGCCAGAUCGGUACCCGGUAUGCAAGCACAGGAUGUAGAGCAAUUAGAUGCAGUAGUGUAGUUCGGUGCACCUAGAGGACCACCAGCACAUAAGCAUGUCCACUUUAAUGUGCCCGAUUCGCCUAAAGUUUUCUCUGUAAAAAUUAUAGACAAAGAAUGAAAUGGAAGCCUCAAUAAAGUUAAACAGCACAUAACAAACAAAGCAAAAUGUCUAUACAAACAGGGCCUAAAUGAUGUACACUCCAUUUACAGCUUAUCAUCUUAUUUUAAUAUAAAGAUUAAAUGUACAUGAAUAACAUUUUUUUAUGACUUGAAAAAUCAAAUCAAUGCUAACCACAGGAAAUGAAUCGAAGCAAAAAGAACCAGCCGACGCAAAGGAUGGCAACUUUUAAAUGUAGCUCCAUUAGCUUCAGGCCAGAUCCCAAAUUGAAGAGACGUCCAAGGCGUCAGUUUUUGUUUACAGGCUGUCACAGAGAAAACAAGAUACGAUAAAAAUGAAUCCAUAUCCAUACAAAAAAAAAGAAGAAGAAAAAAACAUCAUGCAGAUGAUUUAACAAAAUAUGAAUUUCCGAUCAGUCUAUAAUCUUUCAGUUGAGAGAAAAGACAAGCAACAGCUUUAUCUAAUUUCAGAAUCAUGACAAGCAUAGCGCGGUAUAAUGGUCAAAAUCUUUUAAAUAAUUUAUAUGAUCUCCGACCUAAAUGCUUGCAAUGUCAUAUUUGCAUACAUAUCAAAGGUAAGCCGCUUUAAAUCUAUGUCCGCUCAUACAAAGAAAGAUGAUAUCUGAAAAACAAAGGUAUGCAGAAGAAUAAAGCAUAUAUGAGCAAUUAACUAACGAUCCCCCGCAAAUCUAGAGGAGGAAAACAAUAUCUCAUUCAAAAUAUGCACUAGCACACUGAGCAAGAAAUAGGAUCCCGAAAAAGCAGAGAGGCACAUUAACAGUAUUUGUGUGUACAAAACUGAAUUGUGUUGUUACCGAAUUAAUACACCAAGACAACAAAGAAGUUUUUGUUUUUCAGCUUACUUAAAUUGUUGUCAAAACUCAGAGUAGAACCGAGCUCCCUGUGGUCACGCCUUGAAUAACCUAACGGGGGCAGCCACAUCGUAUAUAUAUGGCCAGAAAUGCAUAUGGUACGAAAAAUGACAAUCCUUGACCGAUAGAGGCGUCCUUUACAAACACCGGUUUCCAGCACGCAAAAUUUAAUUGUUUUCAAGUAUCGCUUGGGGGGAAAAAAAAGGAAAACAUUAAAAAUAAUAUUAAAAAAAACUUACCAGGAGCUCCUCAAGAACUCGGGCUCAGUCGAGAGGAAGAAAUGCACCAAUGAUUGCAACACACAUGGAAGUAGAGCAGCAAAUGCUGGGAUUUCUUGGUUUCAGGUGAAGCAUCAUCAUCCUCGUCGUCGUCAGAAAGAAUAACAUCAACAAUUCUGAAAACCCCGCAUGCCGAAGCUUUCAGUGCAUCACUAGAAGCGCCUUGGACUUGCCAUUAAAUGGAUGGUUUUUAGGUUGCCACCGAAAUCCAACGACAACAAACGAGUUGGCUACCAGCCGCGAAGGCAAAUCAUUGAAUCAGGCUACAGCGACAGAAAUCGAUUGCGUUAUGGGACGCUAAUAAUGACAGAGCUACAAUAAUCAGAGGGAAGAAAAAAUUGUCCAGCAUCCACCUCUCGGAAAGCAACCCUUUACAAACCAGAUAGAGACCGGCGACCUAUUCGAGUAUUAUAUGCCAAAGAAUAAUCCAGGUGUCACAUUCUAGCUUUUGCUCGUCUUGACUUGGAACUUAGGAGUAAUUGCUACUUCUCCCAACCAUCGACCUCAAAAGCGUUAUCCAGAGAUCCAGAGGAGCUCCCUAAACUCUGAUCUUUCUUUCUUUUGUUUUUUCUUUGCAAAUUUUUUUUAAAAAAAACUAGAUAUGGAAAGAUUUCAAAUGCUCGAAUGCGCAACGGUUACUUAGCUUUAAAGCAUAAUCGAUGUUGACGUUUGCUAAUUAGUACUUAGUUAUUUAUUUGAGUUUUACUUGUUAUUAUGAUUAUUUAUGUUGCGGCUUCAUGGCGCGGCUGUCGGUGACACAUGCACUCUCCAAAUCUAGUGCUUGCACUCCGGUCACGCCUCAGGAGUCAGGUCCAUCCAUUUUGAAAUCGAGCGGCUAACGGUCGGAAAUCAAAGGAAAUAUAAAAGGCGAGGUGUACUUAUCAAAUAAAAAGAUGCCCGAUCGAUCGAUGCGUGGAGUAGAAUAGAAUGGAGAAGGUAUUGAACGGAAGGGCAAUUAUAUUAAUUUGGGAUGGGCUAUCAUACAUCCACUGAUGACGCCAUCGCGACUCCAUUUGACGAUUGCGUCACAUCAUUAGUAUUAGAAUAAUACAAUGACAGCGAAUAAAGUGCGUGGAGAGAUCGAGAUAAGAUGAUUAGAAAAAAGAAUUCGCUGGAUCCGAUCCCUACCUGUCCUGUGGGCUGAGGNNNNNNNNNNNNNNNNNNNNNNNNNNNNNNNNNNNNNNNNNNNNNNNCCCUCUCUCUCUCUCUCUCUAAAAUCUGCGUCAGCGUCCGUGGCAGCGGUUUAAAUCCGACGGCUUUGAAGAGGGCUUUUCUCCUCCUCGUUUUUCGUCUGGGGGUUGAGGACGGGGAUGAUCGAGGAGGGAACUCCGGGCUAGGGUUUUAGCGUGGGAUAGCGAAAGAGGGAUCCGAGGGAGUGGUGAGUUGAGGAGGCAUUUUGGAUGGAUGGAUCGAUCUCCGUCGACGAGAAAAUAAUUAAUAGAUAGGUGUAGGACCGCCGGGCAGGGCAGGCCGGAUUUCAAUCGGGGAGACGAGACAGGCAGAUCGCGAUGGAAAGUUAGGGCCGGGAGAGAGAGAGAGAGAGAGAGAGAGAAUGCAGAGGAGGAUGGAUGGCAGGUGGGGGUUGACGUUGGGAUCGAGAAGCAGAUGGAUGGAGAGGGAAGUCGAAGACGCUAAUAAUAAUUAAUAAUCUGACAGAAAUUUAAGAAUAAAGAAAGGGAGUCAUCGCAUUCUCAGUUUCGUCCGUCGCGUUCUGGGGAGAAGACGAGGGACGGGCACACCUGUCAAUAAGAAACGAUGGCUACCAUCGGCAGCUGGACGCUCCCUGGACCUGGUUUUUACUUUUUAUGCGCCAUAUAAGAUUGAAGGUUCAUGAAGUGAUUUUAUUGCCCAUUCAAAUCUCGGGCGGUUUCGGGGGAAAAGGAAAAGAAAAAACGGAUCGGGUAGGGUACGCUAAGGAUGCAAAAGGUGAAUGAGCUGAGGUGCUGAGCUCGCACGCAGCCGGGGACUCGACAAACGAAUAUUUGUUAUUAUUCCUCUCGACAACGUGAGCUGGAUGGAGUGGUAUAUUUUGAUUUCACAUGCACGUCGCCUAGUAGCUGUUGUCGCCUCGUCUUUGUUUGAUACAUCCUCCUUCGAGAGUGCUGGUUUUCGACCCAAAAAACACACGCACGCACACAAAAAAAAGGCCCAACCCCGGGCUUCAAGCCCAAUUAUGUUUUACCCCUCUUCUUCUCGCCUUCAGGAGAGGGAAGCAGUUCUAGUUUUGCAGCAUCGGACCACCAUCACCUUAAACCGUGAAUGCGCGGCACAGGAAAAGUCCCCUCUC